AACGAACGCUGGCGGCAUGCCUAACACAUGCAAGUCGAACGAGACCUUCGGGUCUAGUGGCGCACGGGUGCGUAACGCGUGGGAAUCUGCCUUCGGUUCGGAAUAACUCAGGGAAACUUGAGCUAAUACCGGAUAAUGACGUAAGUCCAAAGAUUUAUCGCCGAAGGAUGAGCCCGCGUAGGAUUAGCUUGUUGGUGGGGUAAUGGCCCACCAAGGCGACGACCCUUAGCUGGUCUGAGAGGAUGAUCAGCCACACUGGGACUGAGACACGGCCCAGACUCCUACGGGAGGCAGCAGUGGGGAAUAUUGGACAAUGGGCGAAAGGCCUGAUCCAGCAAUGCCGCGUGAGUGAUGAAGGCCUUA
rnacentral:rRNA from 1 species